UACGGGGGGAGCAAGCGUUGUUCGGAUUUACUGGGCGUAAAGAGCGCGCAGGCGGUCGUUCAAGUCGAGUGUGAAAGCCCCCGGCUCAACUGGGGAGGGUCAUUCGAUACUGAUCGACUUGAAGGCAGGAGAGGGAAGUGGAAUUCCCGGUGUAGUGGUGAAAUGCGUAGAUAUCGGGAGGAACACCAGUGGCGAAGGCGACUUCCUGGCCUGUUCUUGACGCUGAGGCGCGAAAGCUAGGGGAGCAAACGGG
rnacentral:rRNA from 1 species